rnacentral:rRNA from 1 species
AAUGAACGCUGGCGGCAUGCCUUACACAUGCAAGUCGAACGGCAGCAUGACCUAGCUUUCUAGGUUGAUGUCGAGUGGCGCACGGGUGAGUAAUGCAUCUGAGCAUGCCUUUUAGUGGGGGAUAACGUAGCGAAAGUUACACUAAUACCGCAUAUUCUCUGAGGAGGAGAGCAGGGGACCUUCGGGCCUUUCGCUAGAAUAGCUGCCGAGGUCGGAGAAGCUAGUUGGUGAGGUAAAGGCUCACCAAGACGACGAGCCGUAGCGGGUCUGAGAGGAUGAUCGGCCACACUGGAACUGAGACACGGUCCAGACUCCUACGGGAGGCAGCAGUGGGGAAUUUUGGACAAUGGGCGCAAGCCUGAUCCAGCCAUGCCGCGUGAGUGAAGAAGGCCUUCGGGUUGUAAAGCUCUUUCGGCUGGGAAGAAAUCGAACACUUUAAUACAGGGUGGGGAUGACGGUACCAGAAUAAGAAGCACCGGCUAACUACGUG